ACAACAACAUUCGGACCGUCGGUCUACCGAGCAAUAUCACCCGCUCGGUGGAAGAUCUUCCCUUUCGUCGUUAAAC
rnacentral:pre_miRNA from 1 species